AAAGCUUUGUACAAUGAAAGGCACCAUAAAGAAAGUUAAAGCAAGAAAUAUAUUAACGGCGCCAGGCGUGGUGGCUCACACCUGUAAUCCAAGCACUUUGGAGGCCAAGGCGGGCGGAUCACCUGAGGUCGGGAGUUCAAGAUCAGCCUGACCAACAUGGUGAAACCCCAUCUUAAAAAAAAAAAAAAAAAGAUUAAUGGAACAUGGAAAACACAGAAAACAGAUCAAGAUUAGUAUCUAUAAUUAUAGAUGCCUAGGUCAAGAAUAAAAAGACAAACCACCCAGGAGAAAACUGGGC